AAAUCAUUGCUUUGCCAUGACUCAUUAUUUGCAUCAGGGGUAAUAUUAGCUUGAUAAACAUCAUUCUUUUCCUUCAAGUUACGGUCAAAUUGAUCAUGCUUCUCUGAAAGCAGUGGAGAAGAAGCUCUACUAUUCAUGACUGAACGGUCUUCAAAAGAUCCUCCAUUGGCACUUUGUGCAGGACUACGACCGCUGUUAGGGAUUUUAACAAUCAAUUUGUGAUUAUUACCCUCUGCCAUUGGAACAUCAACUACCUUCUCACACGUCAAACUGGACUCAGACAAUUUUUCUCCACCCUGAUUUCUGUGCAAGGAAGAAUUCCUACUUGACCCAGUUUCCCUUUGGAUCCCUGAUAAGGUUGGACCUUGGACACCAUUGAGUGAUUUGCGAUGUCGAGAAGAACCACCAAUGGCUUUAUUUGCAGUCAUUGAAACAGCAGUUGAGCUCCUAGCGUCCUCCUUCCCAGAAACCCCCCCAGUUUUGGCAUGGUCGCUGGAACAAGAUUGACUAUUGUUGUGGGACUGACUA
rnacentral:misc_RNA from 1 species